CGGCGGACGGGUGAGUAACACGUGGAUAACCUACCUAUAAGACUGGGAUAACUUCGGGAAACCGGAGCUAAUACCGGAUAAUAUAUUGAACCGCAUGGUUCAAUAGUGAAAGACGGUUUUGCUGUCACUUAUAGAUGGAUCCGCGCCGCAUUAGCUAGUUGGUAAGGUAACGGCUUACCAAGGCAACGAUGCGUAGCCGACCUUAGAGGGUGAUCGGCCACACUGGAACUGAGACACGGUCCAGACUCCUACGGGAGGCAGCAGGC
rnacentral:rRNA from 1 species